GCAGAUCACGGGCCUAGGAGACAGUGGAGUCGGUGGAGGCGGUAAAGGCGGCGCUGAGGGGUCGAAAGCGGAGCAGCUUGCACACCUCGAGCACCUACCCUGGCUGCUCGCGUAGGGGUGUGAAGUGUAGUAGACAGUCUUCCCCGUGCGUCCCUAGGAACCUAGAGUGAGGACCACAGUCGGGAACCUAGGGCAGUUUUACGUAUCCCCCACCAUUUUUCAUCAGAGACCAUGAAGGAGGCCUCACUGCCGGCGCCUUCUUUAGUUUCCUUAAAUUAUAAUUUUACAAACCCUGCCCCAAGCUUCCAGUCUCCCUUCUCCAACAAAAUGGUGCUGGCUAACUCAGAUGUCUGGGAGAUCUGAAGUUGUGUCAACCUGACUUCCCGGUAAUUCUUGGACAGUAGAAAAGAUUUUUUUUCUGGGCACUUGGGUAUCAGUAUUUUCAGUUAAGAGCACGCCUUUGUUGCUAGUUCAUCGGUUCUUACCUGGCCUUGAGAGGCUGACACGCCGCAAUUCAGACUUUAUUUAUUUACUUUUUUAAUCACAAAUGAAGGCAUCUCUUGAAAAUCAAGCUGCUUGGAUAUACCCAGCAUCGUACCGAUCUCAGCAACACAACUCUGCCCUUUGACAUUUCUCCUCAGCACAGUGGCAUGCAUCCUGACUGUAAAGAAGGAAGACUUUGAAGGUAAGAAACAUUCUUGGGUGAACUGUGAUUAGAUUAUAAAAGAAGGAGAAGAAAGCUAGUUGCCGUUGAUAAGAAUCAGGAAUAAGUGACAAGUGAAAACAAAGUGUAAGAAAGAAGAGUAGUUAUAUGGUAUAACUGAAGGGGUUUGGCCAGUUAGCUUGGCCAAACCAAAUAAUUCCAAUGAAAAAAUUCUCUUAGGUAUCUGAAUUAUCUGGGUGGGGUAUUAUCACAAAGUUAAAUGGUUUCUUGCUUUGUAUGUUCCAUGCAUCUAAGCUGUAUCUUUGUAAAGGCUUCUCAGGAGGCCCUUAAAUUAUCUGGUGGCAAGGAAUUCUUGCCAGGCUCAGCUGGUUAAAAAACACAACAAACAAAAACAAAUUGACAUACAGUUGGUUGGAGAGGCAGUUUAGUCAAAUUAUAAAGCUAGAAAGGAUCUUAAAAGGCUUUCUGUUUGGAUCCUCUAGCUUUAUGCUACUGUUCACUCUGCUCAUCCGGAAAGAUGAUUAUAUUUCCUGUUGUAAAACUUCCCUAAAGCUAUGGAAUUACAGUCUCCUUUGAUAACCAAUUUAAUUUUAAUCAGCCUAAGUUCUGUACAAUUGACCAAACUCAGUUCCUUUUACACAGGAAAUGAGGCUUGUUCAGAGAAUGCCUCCAGGCUUACUGGAGACUCAUGUGUGGGUAGCAUAGUAAAAACUUUGGCCAGCUGGUUAAUUUUAUGGAUGGCAAGGCAGGAUUAAACAACAUUCACCAAAGAAUUCUUUGAGACAUUUCACACAUAUAAUUUACAACAAAAGGACAUACAGUCUUGUAAAUGGUUAAUUAUUAGUCUCAUAAAAUUAUAUUUGAUCUUCUUAUAGUUAGGUUUUUACAUGAUACUUCUUGAAAUUCUGAUCUGCGGUCUAUAAUAGAAAAGACUCCAACAACCUAAAUGACAGUGGUGCUUUACUUUUCAAAAUUAUCCCCCUAGGUUAGUGGUUACCAGAUUUAUGUACACGUAAAAGUCAUCUAGGGGAGGUUGUUAGAAUACAGAUUACUGAGCUUAACUGGAAGAUUCUGAUGCAGUAGGUCAGAGGUAGGGCUAGGAAUCCCAAAGAUGAGUCCAUAGCAGGUCAUCCUCAAACCACAUGUUGACAGACACUCUCCAGAAUGGAAAAUAGCCAUUUCCCAUUCCCAAAUAACCUUGCAUUUUAGAAAAUUUAAAGAGUCGAGUGAACAUUUGGGAAGGAGUCUUUGGUUCCAACAGAGGAAGGUGAGAGGGGCGUCAUUUCCAGAAUCACCUAGAGAGCUUGGGAAUCCUCCUACUUUUGAACUGAAAGACUCCAACAGUCCAAAAUUCAGGGGGAGGAAGAUUCCUUUUAUUUAUUUAUUCAUUUUGCUGUUUAGGGUCACACCUGUGGCAUGUGGAAGUUCCCAGGCUAGGGGUUAAAUCAGAGUUGCAGCACCCAACCUAUACCACAGCCACAGCAAUGCGGGAUCCUUAAUUAACUCUCUGAGCAGGACCAGGGAUUGAAUCUGCAUCUCUGCAUCUUCAUGAAUACUAGUCAGGUUCUUUUUUUUUUUUUUUGGCUUUUGAGGGCCGCACCCAUGGCAUAUGGAGGUUCCCAGGCUAGGGGUCUAUAGCUGCUAGCCUACACCAGAGCCACAGCAAUGCCAGAUCCUUAACCCACUGAACGGGAGGCCAGGGAUCGAACCCUCAACCUCACGGUUCCUAGUUGGAUCUGUUUCCGAUGCUCCACAAUGGGAACUCCACUAGUCAGGUUCUUAACCCGCUGAGCUACAGCAAGAACUCUUUCAUACUCUUUUUAAGAGUAUAAUAUAUAAUGCAAAUAAUUCUAGAUGUUACCUAAUAAAUCACUCCUUAAUGAGACUCACAUUAACAGAUAAUUAGCUGUUUUCAUCCAGCUGAGAAGAACCAAACUGAAGAAAUGAGUAUAUUAAUUGGUAAUUUGGGAAUCUUAGUCACUUCCAUCUACUUUAAAAUCUUAGAUUCACUGGCAGAGUGAGGGGAAGCCUUGGGCAAUUGGAGGGUAGAAUCAAAAGUUCUGAGGAGUGUUGCAAAAAGAGAUGUUUGAGUAGCCAAUAGCAAAAUUCUUCACUAAGCCCUUCCAAAACACCGUCUGGCCUGUGACCUUAAUGUUAAUGUUGCUUUUGCUCUUUGCCACAGCAUCCUCAGACUAGAUUUGUAGCUAAAACAUAAAUCCUUAGGCAAAUUCUGUAGCUUCUACUUUUUUGACUAUUUGAAGAAAUUUUAUUUCUAGGGUAAUUGUAUAUGCCUGUUUCUUUGAUGGUUGCCUUGACUCCUUUUUGGAAGAUGAUGAAAUUAUAAAUUAAUUUUUUGACCAAGCCAAGAACUUUGAAACCAGGCGGCAUACUUGGGAGGUAGAUGAAAGCAUGGGUAUGAGCUCUUGGACAUGGGCUGUGGAGCCCGCCUAGUUGCCUUUGAAAUCUGGCUUCCCUCUUUACUAGUUCUGUGACUUUAGUCAAGUUACUUAACUUCUCUGUGUCUUCAUUUCAUCAUCUGAAAAAUAGGGCUUAAUGUACAGAACCUACAUGAUAGAGUUGUGAAGAUGGUUAAUGAGCUUUCAGAAUAGUGCUGAGCACAGCAAUAAGCAUUCAAUAAAAAUCAGUUAAUUGUUGACAUUAUUUACUGUUAAAUAUUAAAUGUGUUGAUGCUUUUAAGGCAGCUUUCAUUUUAUUUUCCUCGUUCUUAAAUCUAAAGAAGCCUUUAUUUUUUUAAAUCAGAAGAUUGCCCUCAUUAUCUUAGAGAAUCCUGAUACUAUUUUAAAUAUUACGGUUAUGCUUACUACUGUUUUAUCACUUUGAUUUAGGGGCUUUUUUGGCCAAUUCUAAAUGUUUAAAAUCAAUAAAUAUGUAUUGCAAUAAUCUGGAGAAAUGGUGUAGGUACCAAAUUAGCAAAAGUUUGGUACCUACACUACUUGGUUUUUGGUUUUUGGCAGUGAGGGUAGGGGAGCUGUCCCAAGGUUAAAAGAUAAGACCUUCAAGACAUUCCUACUCCUCAGAAAUUCUGGAGAGCAACAGCCAAGUCAAUAGAGAAAAGAUUGCUCUUUUUUUUUUUUUUGUCUUUUUAGGGCCACACCUGCAGCACACCGAGGCCCCCAGGCCAGGGGUCCAAUUGGAGCCGCAACUACCGGCCUACGCCACAGCCACAGCAGCUCAGUAUCUGAACCGCGUCUGCGGCCCAUACCGCAGCUCACAGCAACACCAGAUCCCCAACCCACCGAGCAAGGCGAGGGAUUGAACCAGCAUCCUCAUGGCUCCCAGUCAGACUCCCUUCCGCUGUGCCAAGAUGGGAACUCCAGAGAAAAGAUUGCUCUUAAAGAAGCCAAUAUGUUUAAUCAUUGAAAUGAUUUUACUUUUAUAGAACCACAGAGGGCAGUAAAAAAACAGUUAACUGAGAAUUGAUUAAACCAGUGCUGUCUACAUCAUGGCUAACGUAGAGAAAUCUGAGUUAAUCAGCACAUCCUUCCAAGAACACUAGAUGGUGCUCUGAAUUUAGUUUUGGGAUUCAGACUACCUCAGCAAAUGGCUGUCUUCAUUCAACAAAUAUUGAUUAGGCAGUGAAUAAAAUAUUAAAAAUGCGUGCCCUUGUGGGGCUACAGUUUAAUUGGGAUGGUAGGAAUAAAGUGAAAAAUAAACAUAAGUAUUAGAAAUAUAGAAUGAUAGAAAGUGGGAAGUGCUGUGGAAAACAGCAGGGAAAAUGGGAAGACGGGCAGUUGCAAUAUUAAGUAAACUUGUCAGAGUGGACUUCAUUGUGAAGGUGACAUCUGAACAAUAACUUGGAGUCCCUGGAGUGAGCAAUAAGGACAGUUGAGGAGAAGGUGUUCUAGGAAGAGGAAACACUAGGGCAGAGACUCUAAGCCCUAAGGCAAGAGUGGCCAGGCCUAUUUAAGAAUUGCCUAAAAAAAAAAAAAAAAAAAAAAAA
rnacentral:lncRNA from 1 species